AUAGGGUGCAGUGUUGCAUGUCUAUAAUCCCAGCUACUUGGGAGUUUGAAGGAGAAGGAUCACUUGAGCCCAGGUGUUGUAGGCUGGAGUGUGCUAUGCUGACUGGGUGUCUGCACUAAGUGUGGCAUUAAUAUGGUGACCUCUUGGGAGCUGGGGACCACCACACUGCCUUAUAAAUGAAGGGUGGAAAUGAAGCAGGUCGAAACUGCUGUGCUGACCAGUAGUGGUAUCAUACCUGUGAAUAGCCACUGCACUCCAGCCUGGGCAAGACAGUGAGACACCUGUCUCAAU
rfam:Otolemur garnettii contig039441, whole genome shotgun sequence.